CACAGUGUAGCAAUACAUGGGUGGCGACCGGCAAACGGGUGCGGAACACGUACGCAACCUUCCUUCAGGCGGGGAAUAGCCCAGAGAAAUUUGGAUUAAUACCCCAUAAUAUUUUGAGAUGGCAUCAUCUUAUUAUUAAAGCUACGGCACCUGGAGAUGGGCGUGCGGCUGAUUAGGUAGUUGGCGGGGUAAUGGCCCACCAAGCCUACGAUCAGUAGCUGAUGUGAGAGCAUGAUCAGCCACACGGGCACUGAGACACGGGCCCGACUCCUACGGGAGGCAGCAGUAAGGAAUAUUGGUCAAUGGACGCAAGUCUGAACCAGCCAUGCCGCGUGGAGGAUGAAGGUCCUCUGGAUUGUAAACUUCUUUUAUCUGGGACGAAAAAAGGGUUUCCUAACUCGUCUGACGGUACCAGAUGAAUAAGCACCGGCUAACUCCGUGCCAGCAGCCGCGGUAAUACGGAGGGUGCAAGCGUUAUCCGGAUUCACUGGGUUUAAAGGGUGCGUAGGCGGGCAUUUAAGUCAGUGGUGAAAUACCUGAGCUUAACUUGGGAACUGCCAUUGAUACUAUUUGUCUUGAAUGUCGUGGAGGUUAGCGGAAUAUGUCAUGUAGCGGUGAAAUGCUUAGAUAUGACAUAGAACACCUAUUGCGAAGGCAGCUAACUACGCGAAUAUUGACGCUGAGGCACGAAAGCGUGGGGAUCAAACAGGAUUAGAUACCCUGGUAGUCCACGCCCUAAACGAUGUUUACUCGACAUUAGCGAUACACUGUUAGUGUCUGAGCG
rnacentral:rRNA from 1 species